CCUACGGGAGGCUGCAGUGGGGAAUAUUGCACAAUGGGCGCAAGCCUGAUGCAGCCAUGCCGCGUGUGUGAAGAAGGCCUUCGGGUUGUAAAGCACUUUCAGCGGGGAGGAAGGCGGUGAGGUUAAUAACCUCAUCGAUUGACGUUACCCGCAGAAGAAGCACCGGCUAACUCCGUGCCAGCAGCCGCGGUAAUACGGAGGGUGCAAGCGUUAAUCGGAAUUACUGGGUGUAAAGCGCACGCAGGCGGUCUGUCAAGUCGGAUGUGAAAUCCCCGGGCUCAACCUGGGAACUGCAUUCGAAACUGGCAGGCUAGAGUCUUGUAGAGGGGGGUAGAAUUCCAGGUGUAGCGGUGAAAUGCGUAGAGAUCUGGAGGAAUACCGGUGGCGAAGGCGGCCCCCUGGACAAAGACUGACGCUCAGGUGCGAAAGCGUGGGGAGCAAACAGGAUUAGAUACCCCAGUAGUC
rnacentral:rRNA from 1 species